CAGUUAUCUAAUUGUCUACGGAUCAGUGGGGUGGCUGGCACUGGCUUUGGAGUCAGGUGGGUGUAUGUUCCAAUCCUCGCUCUGUCCCCCGCAGGCUACAGGACCUUGGACAGUAGACUUAACCAUUCUGAACCUCCGUAUCCACAUCUGCAAAAUGGGAGAGUUCUAGAACCCACCUCAUACAAUUGUUGCUAGGAUCGAUUAUCCUAACAACGUGUCCUGAGUGACGUCAACGGGCCAGGCGUUGUUCUAGGGUUCUGGAGACACGACAGCAGCCCACACAGGCAACACUCCUGCCCUCUCCGGACAUACUCCAGUGGGUGUGGGCAAAGUUCUCGGCAUGAGCUGUCCACAGGCGUCUUCCUCCCCCGUGUCACAGACAGGGACCGUGAGGCUCGGACAGCAAGUUUCCAGAGACUUCUGACCUCUUCUUGCCAUGUUGCCUUUUCUACUGUACGGCUGGACCAUCCACUUGCAUCGGGGAGGAACGUGUUUGGCUGCAGGUAACAGAACAGCCAGCCCCCGUGGCUUAGAUCAGGGAUUUCAAAACUAAUGGAUAAAUAGUCCAAGGCAAUUUCAGUGGCUCACUGAUCCGGUCUCUUCCACUU
rnacentral:lncRNA from 1 species